rnacentral:sRNA from 1 species
GUAGAUCACUACUUCUAGUCUACUUUUGGCUAAUAAUGAAGGUCUUACGAAUCAUGGCUGUUGUUGGCGUAUCUUUAUUGUUUGUUGCUAACGCAAAGCAAAGAUGGCACAAUUUGCAUAAAGGCCUACCAUAUCCCAUACUAGGACCGACCAUUUAAAGUGAAACCUCGCAAUAAAGUUCCUUUGUAAUGCUGUCUACGUCGAGAAUCUUUAAAAUCCAUCGUAAGAUAGAAAUCAGUAGCAGUGAAUAAGAUAGGGAAUAUCUGAAAGAAUUAAUCCUAUCUGAAUGCGAAUGCUAAAGAGGUAUCUUAACUAAUUAUUAAACCGAAUUGAACAUUCUAA